rnacentral:rRNA from 1 species
AGAGUUUGAUCCUGGCUCAGGGCGAACGCUGGCGGUGUGCUUCACACAUGCAAGUCGAGCGAAUGAAGAAGGUAGCUUGCUACUUUUGGAUUUAGCGGCGGACGGGUGAGUAAUAUAUAGGAAUCUGCCCUAGAGCGGGGAACAACAGACCGAAAGGUUUGCUAAUGCCCCAUAGGUACGCAGUCUUCGGAUUGUUUAUUAAAGGAGUAAUCCACUCUAGGAUGAGCCUGUAUCCGAUUAGCUAGUUGGCGGGGCAAAGGCCCACCAAGGCUACGAUCGGUAGUUGGUCUGAGAGGAUGAUCAGCCACAAUGGGACUGAGACACGGCCCAUACUCCUACGGGAGGCAGCAGUGGGGAAUUUUACACAAUGGGGGAAACCCUGAUGUAGCGACACCGCGUGAACGAAGAAGCCUUUUGGGGUGUAAAGUUCUGUCGGCUGGAACGAAAAAAAUGACGGUACCAGCAAAGGAAGCAUCGGCUAACUACGUGCCAGCAGCCGCGGUAAGACGUAGGAUGCAAGCGUUGUCCGGAUUUAUUGGGCGUAAAGAGUUCGUAGGCGGUUAUUUAAGUCUGAUGUUAAAUACUGUGGCCCAACCACAGAACUGCAUUGGAUACUGGAUGACUUGAGUGCGGUAGAGGCAAGUGGAAUUCCCAGUGUAGCGGUGAAAUGCGUAGA